rnacentral:rRNA from 1 species
AUACGGAGGGUGCAAGCGUUGUUCGGAAUAACUGGGCGUAAAGGGCGCGCAGGCGGUUGGAUAAGUCAGAUGUGAAACCCCUGGGCUCAACCCAGGAAGUGCAUUUGAAACUGUCCAUCUUGAGUACGGGAGAGGGAAGCGGAAUUCCGAGUGUAGAGGUGAAAUUCGUAGAUAUUCGGAGGAACACCGGUGGCGAAGGCGGCUUCCUGGACCGAUACUGACGCUGAGGCGCGAAAGCGUGGGGAGCAAACAGGAUUAGAAACCCCAGUAGUCC